rnacentral:rRNA from 1 species
UACGUAGGGGCCUAGCGUUGUCCGGAUUUAUUGGGCGUAAAGAGCUCGUAGGCGGUGUGUCGCGUCGGCCGUGAAAACCUGCAGCUUAACUGUGGGCUUGCGGUCGAUACGGGCAUCACUGGAGUUCGGCAGGGGAGACUGGAAUUCCUGGUGUAGCGGUGAAAUGCGCAGAUAUCAGGAAGAACACCCGUGGCGAAGGCGGCACUCUGGUACGUGACUGACGCUGAGACGCGAAAGCGUGGGGAGCGAACAGG